GUCCUACGGGGGGCAGCAGUCGGGAAUAUUGCGCAAUGGAGGAAACUCUGACGCAGUGACGCCGCGUGCAGGAAGAAGGUUUUCGGAUUGUAAACUGCUUUAGACAGGGAAGAUAAUGACAGUACCUGUAGAAUAAGCUCCGGCUAACUACGUGCCAGCAGCCGCGGUAAUACGUAGGGAGCAAGCGUUAUCCGGAUUUAUUGGGUGUAAAGGGUGCGUAGACGGGAAGGCAAGUUAGUUGUGAAAUCCCUCGGCUUAACUGAGGAACUGCAACUAAAACUAUCUUUCUUGAGUGCUGGAGAGGA
rnacentral:rRNA from 1 species